GAUGAACGCUGGCGGCGUGCCUAAUACAUGCAAGUCGAGCGAACAGACGAGGCUCUUGCUCCUCUGUCGUUAGCGGCGGACGGGUGAGUAACACGUGUAUCACCUCCCUAUAAGACUGGGAUAACUUCGGGACACCGGAGCUAAUCCCGGAUAAUAUCUUGAACCGCAUGGUUCAAUAGUGAAAGACGGUUUUGCUGUCUCUUAUAGAUGGAUCCGCGCCGCAUUAGCUAGUUGGUAAGGUAACGGCUUACCAAGGCAACGAUGCGUAGCCGACCUGAGAGGGUGAUCGGCCACACGGGAACUGAGACACGGUCCAGACUCCUACGGGAGGCAGCAGUAGGGAAUCUUCCGCAAUGGGCGAAAGCCUGACGGAGCAACGCCGCGUGAGUGAUGAAGGUCUUCGGAUCGUAAAACUCUGUUAUUAGGGAAGAACAAAUGUGUAAGUAACUAUGCACGUCUUGACGGUACCUAAUCAGAAAGCCACGGCUAACUACGUG
rnacentral:rRNA from 1 species